UCUGGAAACAGAGAACAUUCAUAGAGGGAAAUGAGACACAGACAACAUUCUCAAGAGCGAGAAUUAAGGAAGUAGGGAGUUUCAACAAGACAACAAACAAUGGUUCAACAAAUACCUCAGAAGGUUCUGAUGAGUUUUCAUGUAGUUCGGCCCAGCAGGCAAAACCUAAUAUGCAGAAAAAAGACCCCUUGACUAAUUAUUCUGUAGAAAUUCCAGGUUUGUCCCAUUGGAAUGAAGAUAUGAUGGCAGACAAUGGGAGACAACAAACCCAGAGAUGGAGACGCCAUACAAAAGCCAGGAGGAGAGGAUAUGCUUGAUUGUUCUGUAUCACAACAUGCACAGCUGCAUCCACAGCAUGUCAUGGCCCUUUAAAUUAAUGUACCAUUCAACAAACAGAGAAACUCUGCUGGCGUGGGUCACAAGCAAGUUUAAGAUGUACGCCUGCUGGACACUAAGAAAUAAGCUGUUACUGAAGUCACUAAACUGCUACGGUGGAUUAAAAAGGAAGAAGAACGUCUCUUUAUCUGUUCCCUCCCAAAACACCCCACCCCACAACCAGGCAGGAGUUCUGCUGAAAGGGGCAGAUCAUACAGACAGGAAGCAUCAGACUGUGGCUUUCUAUCUCUCUUAUAGCCUCCUGCAACCAUAACCUCAUAAAGUUACUUUUCAACAAAGCAGUUAAUGUUUAAGUUCUGUGUUUUAUGGUUUUGGACUUUAUAGUGUACGUGUCAAUAUUUGAAAAUAUGUAAACCCUCCUGCAUUUGUGUCAGAGGGAUUAUGGAGCAGACAUGUAAAUUCUGGUUUUUUUUUUUGUUUAUUAUUAUUUUGUAUUAUUGUUUGGGAGAUGCAUAUGACAGCAGCGAACGUAUUUUCCUUUUUUGUGUGCUUGCAUCCCACCUGUUUAGGUAACUGUCACAAGUCCAAUAUAUUUACUGUAUGUACAAACAAGUAUACUGUACAGUAGGGGAGACCGGGGCUAGCUGUCACACAGAGAAGUUGUCACUAUUCAAUCGACUAGUCAACUAUAACUAACGUAGCCGGAAGUCGAACUAGUCGCUCACUGGGGCUAGUUGUCACACAGGGAAGAUGUCACUAUUCAGCAGUGUGACAACAUGCCCCAGCAUGUCACACAAGGUCAACAUAUAUUCAAUGAACUGUAUCUUUUUUACUGGGCAAUAAUGGUGGGUAUGUUUGUUUGAUUAGUGCACAUGUGAAAUAUCUUCAAAAAUAAUGCCAUAAAUAGUUUUAAUUUAUCUCUUUAAUUUAAUUUUUAAUUUUACCCCAACUCUGUGGGGGUCAUACCAUCUGUUGUAGGGCACCUUGUUCUUCUUCUACUCAAUUCUAUUUGCAAAGGGAAUGUUGAAAUGUAAAACUGUUAUUUCCUACUGAUACACUAAAAGCAGGAUAUGUAAAAUAAUCGUUUUAAGACAAAUGUUUUGCAAAAAAUAUAAUGCGCCUAAGACUUUUGCACAGUACUGUAUAUAUAUUUGUGGUUAGGUUGAUAAUAAUUAUU